GUACUGCAUGACGUCGGUCUCUUCUGCGCAGGAUAGGUGGGAGGCUUUGACCUUUUCUUCCGGGAUUGCUGGAGCCAUCCUUGAGAUACCACUCUGAUAAUUUUAGGAUUCUAACCCUACUCUUUGAUCCGGGACGGGAACCAUUUCCGGGGGGCAGUUUGACUGGGGCGGUCGCCUCCCAAAAGGGAACGGAAGCGCGGCAAGGGUUCCUCCAAGCGGGCCGAAAUCCAGCCGUAAAUGGAAAGGGCAAAGGGAACUUGGAUUGCAAAACCAACAGGCCAACAAGGACCAAAAGCCGGCCUUAUGGAUCCGCCGGUCCCAGGUGAAAGGCCCUCCCCUAACCGAAUAAAAUUUCCUCUAGGAAUACCAGGUGGAGAACUUCCUAAAA
rnacentral:rRNA from 1 species